CACGUAGUUAGCCGGCGCUUUUUCUGCAGGUACCGUCACUUACGCUUCUUCCCUGCUAAAAGAGGUUUACAACCCGAAGGCCUUCAUCACUCACGCGGCGUUGCUGCAUCAGGGUUUCCCCCAUUGUGCAAUAUUCCCCACUGCUGCCUCCCGUAGGAGUCUGGGCCGUGUCUCAGUCCCAAUGUGGCCGAUCACCCUCUCAGGUCGGCUACGCAUCGUCGCCUUGGUGAGCCAUUACCUCACCAACUAGCUAAUGCGCCGCGGGUCCAUCUUAUAGCGGAUUGCUCCUUUGGUUAUCGAUUCAUGCGAAUCAACAACUUUAUGCGGUAUUAAUCUUCCUUUCGGAAGGCUAUUCCCCUCUAUAAGGCAGGUUACCCACGUGUUACUCACCCGUCGCCGCUAAUCCGUUCCCGAAGGAACUUCAUCGCUCGACUUGCAUGUGUUAGGCACGCCGCCAGCGUCGUCUCGUGCCGACGAGUCGAACUACCGU
rnacentral:rRNA from 1 species